ncrna:unclassified sequences lysM-TM7 RNA
GCCUGCCAAGGUUGUCGCUACGGAUACGAUAAACCAAAUCAUUUUAGAAUAUAAACUAAUUAUUAGGUCGACAAGGUAUCCUGUUCUAUUGCGAGAAGAAAGACAAUUUGGUAGUAGCACUGGCGGCAACGCUGAUGCAAGGAG